rnacentral:lncRNA from 1 species
CAUUUUGGAUGGGAAAAGAGCAGGUAAAACGAGGACAACGAAGAACGACCUCAGAUGCGCUGACUAACAACGUUGUCUUUAUUGCAACAAGGCAAAAUAUAGAAAUCAGGAGAGCCUCUCCACAUUCGUCAAAUGU